rnacentral:precursor_RNA from 15 species
AUUUAUGACAACUUUUAAAGGACCCCCUUUGCUUUAACAUGGGGGUACCUGCUGCCUAGAAAAAGUAAGUGCUUCCAUGUUUCAGUCGUGGUGGAUCCUAGUGUCUUGAAUUUAUGAC